CAGUUCGGCACAGUUUGUUUGUUAGCAUCUCCUGCUUCACAAGAAUUUUUUCCGAUGUUUAUGUUGUGGCGAACUGGCUAAUUCUUCGGCUUUCGAUUUUAGAACUGGACCACUUAUUGCAAUAGUUUCGUAUCAUCGAACUUGAAGCACGUAAAAGAGCUUUAUCUACAUCUGAAUGUACAAGAUUUCAAAUUUUUUCGCGAUUACUCCAAAUUGUAGAUAUUGUUGUUUUUGCCAAUUUCUUUUAUCUAGCAAUUUCCGCCUUACCGAUACCACUCUCAAUACUUCUGAUAAUUUCAAUCUUUUCUUAUAGGCUUGCGCCGAACAGCUUUUUUAACCAUAAAUUCAAAAAAUCGUGCUAGCGGACGUUUCCAUAAAACAAUAUUGUGGAAACUGUCGCCCUGACACGCACCACAUUUCAGAUAAAACCUCGCAAAUGGCUACUGAAAAAUCCCCGAUAUUUUCGGAGAACCACCGCUGGAUAAUCCGGUUUUAGCGUACACUCGUACUUUAUAACCAGAACGAUAACGAAAAUAUUGUACCGUAGUAGAAGCUAUAUAUGGUACGUAAUAUCGGAUGAAAAUCAAGAGUAUUUUGGCCGGACCAGAAAAAUAUGUGCGUAAUACCCGGAAGUACCAUAUCCCAUUGCGAAAACUAUUAAAUCAAUCAAAUUUAUUACAUGGAAAGUCCAAGUUGCGAAAAAUAACACUUGCUUGUCAACGUAAUACUUGUGUGAGGCGCAAAAUAUAUUCGCUAACAUCCUAACUUAAAUAAUUAAGUGAUAGACCAACAAUCGAUCAAUGGGAUAGGUGCUGCUCAUUUAUAACUGUGGUAAGAGUACCUAAUGACUUAAAAAAAAGUAAACUGAAGAAACCAAAACUAACCUUCAGCUUCAAAGUGACGUAGCUAAACGAUUUGAAAAACGUAUAAAA